rnacentral:rRNA from 1 species
GACGAACGCUGGCGGCGUGCCUAAUACAUGCAAGUAGAACGCACAGUUUAUACCGUAGCUUGCUACACCAUAGACUGUGAGUUGCGAACGGGUGAGUAACGCGUAGGUAACCUGCCUGGUAGCGGGGGAUAACUAUUGGAAACGAUAGCUAAUACCGCAUAAUAUUAAUUAUUGCAUGAUAAUUAAUUGAAAGGUGCAAUUGCACCACUACCAGAUGGACCUGCGUUGUAUUAGCUAGUAGGUGAGGUAACGGCUCACCUAGGCGACGAUACAUAGCCGACCUGGGAGGGUGGUCGGCCACACUGGGACUGAGACACGGCCCAGACUCCUACGGGAGGCAGCAGUAGGGAAUCUUCGGCAAUGGACGAAAGUCUGACCGAGCAACGCCGCGGGAGUGAAGAAGGUUGUCGGAUCGUAAAGCUCUGUUGUAAGGGAAGAACGGGUGUGGGAGUGGAAAGUUCACACUGUGACGGUAUCUUACCAGAAAGGGACGGCUAACUACGUG